rnacentral:rRNA from 1 species
AGAGUUUGAUCCUGGCUCAGGACGAACGCUGGCGGCGUGCUUAACACAUGCAAGUCGAACGAUGAAGCCCUUCGGGGUGGAUUAGUGGCGAACGGGUGAGUAACACGUGGGCAAUCUGCCCUUCACUCUGGGACAAGCCCUGGAAACGGGGUCUAAUACCGGAUAACACUCCUGCCUGCAUGGGUGGGGGUUAAAAGCUCCGGCGGUGAAGGAUGAGCCCGCGGCCUAUCAGCUUGUUGGUGAGGUAGUGGCUCACCAAGGCGACGACGGGUAGCCGGCCUGAGAGGGCGACCGGCCACACUGGGACUGAGACACGGCCCAGACUCCUACGGGAGGCAGCAGUGGGGAAUAUUGCACAAUGGGCGAAAGCCUGAUGCAGCGACGCCGCGUGAGGGAUGACGGCCUUCGGGUUGUAAACCUCUUUCCAGCAGGGAAGAAGCGAAAGUGA